GACCUCGUAGCUCAGCUGGUAGAGCAUGCGCGUACAAAGCGUAAGCGGUGCCCAUGCGUGGGUUCGAAUCCCACCGAGGCUA
rfam:Echinostoma caproni strain Egypt genome assembly, scaffold: ECPE_scaffold0001224